GUGGGGAAUCUUGCGCAAUGGGCGAAAGCCUGACGCAGCGACGCCGCGUGGAGGAUGAAGGCUUUCGGGUUGUAAACUCCUUUCAGCGGGGACGAAGCCCUUCGGGGUGACGGUACCCGCAGAAGAAGCCCCGGCUAACUACGUGCCAGCAGCCGCGGUAAUACGUAGGGGGCAAGCGUUGUCCGGAUUUAUUGGGCGUAAAGAGCACGUAGGCGGCUUGUCAAGUCGGGUGUGAAACCCCGGGGCUCAACCCCGGGCCUGCACUCGAAACUGGCAGGCUAGAGUCUGGUAGAGGGAAGUGGAAUUCCUAGUGUAGCGGUGAAAUGCGCAGAUAUUAGGAAGAACACCAGUGGCGAAGGCGGCUUCCUGGGCCACGACUGACGCUGAGGUGCGAAAGCUGGGGGAGCGAACAGGAUUAGAUACCCCGGUAGUCC
rnacentral:rRNA from 1 species